UACGUAGGGUGCAAGCGUUAAUCGGAAUUACUGGGCGUAAAGCGUGCGCAGGCGGCUAUGCAAGACAGAUGUGAAAUCCCCGGGCUCAACCUGGGAAUUGCAUUUGUGACUGCACGGCUAGAGUGUGUCAGAGGGGGGUAGAAUUCCACGUGUAGCAGUGAAAUGCGUAGAGAUGUGGAGGAAUACCGAUGGCGAAGGCAGCCCCCUGGGAUAACACUGACGCUCAUGCACGAAAGCGUGGGGAGCAAACAGG
rnacentral:rRNA from 1 species